UCUACCCUUAAAUCGUCUUGAAUUGUUGCGUUUAGGAGCUGUGUUUAUGUGGAUUUGCUCUCUGUUACAGCAAUCAUAAGACUGUGGUGUACACUGAGCCAGCAGCAGCUGGCACCUACGAGGAUGAUGAGGAUGGGGAGUUCAGACAGAAAUCAUCUUUUGUGGUGUAGCAGUAACAUCUGGCACUGAUAACUGUGUCCUGAACUGUGUUUCAGUUGUAGUGCACUGGACAAAACAGUUAAAAGACUUUGUAAAACUAUGUUUGAGAAGGUAUUGAUUGUACAUUUCAUUUAUUUUUCAUACAAUUGUGUAAAAACUUUUUUAUAUUCUAUCAUGCUCACUGACAUUUUCUUGGCUAUGCUAGAUUUUAAACAACAUUACUUGGAAACCGAAUACAUGUACAUAACAUAAGCAUUUCAGAUAGGUAAAUGUGUAUCGUGCAUACUCACAUUCACACAUGUGCAGCAGUUUCUUCGACUUUGCAAUGGUUUCUAGCAAGGAUUCUGAAUUGGUAGAUCUGGAUUUAGGAUGAACUUCAACUUUCUGAUAGAUGUAUGUGCACAGGCCUAUUGGAAUAUUCAUAUUCCCAUCCCUGUUAUCGUUGGAUAUUAAUCUUGAAGGAUCACAGAAUCUGUGGAUGAAUAGUUGCUUCGGUUUGAGGCCCUCUGCCCUUUGCGGUGUGAUGGGGUGAGUGUGUGCAGUGGGAGGUUGUGGUGGUUUGAGCAGGUCUUUGGCAUGUCUGAAUGGCUGUACUGGGUUUGGUUUCUCUUCGUACCAUCCAUGACCUUGGCAUUCAUAUAGCCUUUAUGUGUGAGCCAUAAUCUGCUUUUCAUAAUUGUAUCAAGAGUCAAAUGAUAUCUGUGCUUCCGGUCUACAAACCAGUGCUUUCUGCUGUGCAGCUAUAACGUGGUGCCACAGCUGGGCCAGUGGAUUGGUUGAUUGAAUCCAAACAUCCUGUCGGCAGCUUGAUGUCUCUCGUAGGGAUCCCAUAUUCACAGACAUGAAGCACACCGAGACAUGAAUCAUGUGAUUUCUAUUUUCUAUCACCACUGCUCUGCUUCAUUUUGGUCAGAGGAAAGGGUUGAUUUUGCUACAUCUGUUCGUACAUCAUGAAGAGUGCUUACAAAGGGGAUGUUUUUGCCUGUUUUAGGUGAGAACUGCGUAUUUUCUAAACAAAAGAUAACACCAUGAAAUCAGGUACAUAUUUAUUUGGCCCCUAAGAAAACACUGGCACAGCAGUUUCGGGUUUCCCCAUUUUUGCCUCGAUCCAUUUGAUUUCCUUUUAUCUUGUGGGGACAUGACCCUGUCCAGCUCCGUCAACAACAGAACAAAAGCAGCAAUGUUCCUGAUCAUGUCGGCUAGCUUGGUCAGUCUGAGAGUGUUGCAAGAGCGUUUUCUCUUCUUUUCUUUUAAUCCAUCAACAUGCAAAUUGUCAACACAACUGACCUCCACUUGUGCCAUUGCAAGGAUAUAGUUACCAGGGCCCUCUGCACACGCAUGUAUUGACCGUAUUGUUUGCUUACAUUUGAUUAGGCCAGGACAUUUCUUCCUGAGUGUUUUUCCCCCACUUCAGUAGACUGUAGGCCACAAUAACUGCCACACACCUUAGGUAUCCAUUGGUUGGGUAUGUCAUGAGGUUACUGGACUAGUUAUUUGGUACAUUGGAUUGAAGAUUCCAAGAAUUUUUAAUCCUUCACUUCAACUUAACAGCUGUAUUUUAGAGCGAUGUGAGAAUGCAAUUAUCAAUAAUCAGACAUAUUGGAAAUGAAUAUGAAAGGUUAAAGAAUAUAGGAUGAAGUGACAAGUGUUUUAAAACUGUAACGGCUCCAGGAGGUAGUGCUUUCUGUAAAUUACCUCAGUAAAAUGUGAAGGCCCUAAAAUAUUUAUUUUGUAUGUGAUUCACUUCAUCAUGUUUGAGUAUUUUAACAUUAUUGGUUUAUGAUUUCAAAUCUUACUUUUGCCAUGGGGACAGAUGUUUUUAGACUGUGCUGAUGCAGUCUCCAAGAUUGUAAUUAGUGUCUGAAACCAUGCAGGAGUGCAUUUCUGCACUCUCCUGGACAAGGCCUAUGGCUAAUCACAUUUCAGAAAUAUUGCAGUUGUUUUUCUUUUUUGGUUUCACAAGAUUUGAUGAAUGCUGUGUGAAAACUGGGAAACGAUUGGGAAUGAACCUUAUUUUGUUGUUAUCUAAGAUAAUUUGUGCUUGGCUGUUUUAUUCUGUUUUGUUAAAUAAAAUACUGGUUUAACUAA